CAGCACCAACUCCGGCGCCAACUCCAGUACCAAGUCCAUCGCCUGAUCCAGGCACACCAACACCUGAGUGCGAUACUGGAUGCCCGAACUUCAACUGUCACGAAAAUGCACUUUGUGUCAGCAGCCCUGGUUCCAAUACAGAAGCUCUUCUGAUACCCCACCACGAAUGUGACAAAUUCUACAAGUGCAAACAUGGAUCAAAUUUGGCCUGUGAAUUUGUGUGUCCAGCUGGAUUACAUUUCAAUGACGUAAAGCUCGUAUGUGACUGGCCCUGGUUGGCAUGUUGCGACCCAUCCAUCAACUGCGUCAAACCAUGCAUUCCAGGAGUUACUUGUGCACCUUCGGCUUAGGUCACACAUAUCGAGAUUAGCCGUAAUUUAAGAUCAACAAUAUCGAUCCAAUUGCUGUGGGAGUAAAGUAUUAGUAUGGUUUGAUAAACAGUUUAAAUUAAGCUGCAUCAUUAUAUUACUCAUAUUGUUUCUAAAUAGUUGGCAAUAAACAUCUUGUGCGUUUAAACAAAAACCUUUGCAAUAAA